rnacentral:tRNA from 1 species
UUUUUAAGAAACUAUCACAUACUAAGAAAAAAAAUUUUAAUUAUUCCUGAGUCGAUCAUAUUCUUUAAAUCAUUUUAGCAAUCAUAUCUUUAAUACACUUAUCACAUGUUCCUACUUUAUUUAGAAAUUAUCAUCUUAAAGCAGAUAAACUGUGAUCUGAAUUCGAUAAAGCAUUUUUGCCAAUCAAAAUUAAUGGAAUUCUAACAAUAACUUGCAUAUUGCAAACACUAAUAAAACAGAAGAUUCCUUCUCAUGAGAACAUUUUUGGAAGUAGACAGAUUACAAUAACUAUAAAUAUAUAUACAAUGUAAGAAUGACUAUUUAGGUUGGCUGCAGCAAUUAACAUUAAUCCACAUUAUGCAUAAAACAGCAAAACUAACGAUUAUACAGAAAGCAGAAUGUUAUAUGAUCAAUUGAAAUUGUGUAAAUACUUUGAAGUACAAUAACUUAUAAACUAUGAAGAUUUGCCUAAGAAGUCAUAAGGGUAGUAUACACUUAUUUUGGGUCAAAGAAGAACCAAUUUCGAUUCUUGAAAUGCCACCUCAAGCCACUGCACUCUAAGUUAAAUGAAGUUGUCAAUACUUACUUUGUCCUUUUAUAUAUUUAGAAUAUAUUUUCCUCCCAUAUCAGCUAAAACUUUAAUAGCAACAAUUACUUGUAAUCUGACAAGAUUCUGUCCCUGAAUCUUACGAUCAUUAAUCAUCUUAAAUUAUGCAAACAAACCUAAGAAAAAUGUUGUGUUGCAGUAAUAAAAAGACUAUGUAUUGUGGUAGAAGUAUGGAGCGGGGAGGGGAAGCCAUGUAGGCCAACGGGGCGAGAAAGCUAAAGCAUGAGGAGCAGAUCACGGGGGGUGCGAGGGGGAGGUGAAUGAUUGCCACCACGUAUGCGUCUUCAACCUAAAUUGCUAGAUUUUACAAUAAUGCAUCUGGUUCACAAUUCACGUUACCACAGCACAUGUUAAUAUGUGUGAAAUGUGAAAGCCCCCAUUGCCUACAAGGCACACUUUUUUUUCACAUUUCACAUACACCACAACACAUAGUCUAAUAAUAAUACACACGCUUCGGUGUAAUCUCACAAGUCAUGAAGCCAAUAGCUUAAAUUGUUUUCUAAAACAGUAAAACCACAGAAACAUUGAUCAUGAAAUCAAAAUUUCUAUCUGAUUGUACUUGACUCACAUCAAUCUCAUUAUCGUUCAGAAUUUCAAAAAGUCUGAAUUAGAUAACUUAUUUCAUUCCUUUUACUUAGCACCUCAUGAAACUAGCACUUCCAAAUGAACAGACAAGCACAGAUGGUUAUGGAACCCUAACUAUGGCUGUGCUAAUAAUAAACUCAGAAUAACAAGGCACUAUAUGAAAAUUUAUAAAUCCAGAACAUGUAUAUAUACACUCCUCCAUUCCAGAAUCAAAAGUCUACUAUCCGAAUACCUAAUUUUGCGACUGAUAACUUAUCAAAAAUAGCCUUCAGCAUAGUUUCAAUGUUGAUAAUAACUCGUUAACUUGUAGAAACACCGAAUAAAAGUGAAACAUUAAAGACGAAGAGGAACUGAUUCUAACCUUUAACCGCCGAUUGCAGCCGGUGAAAGACUGGAAAACCUAAAAGGCGUUCGACGACACUUCCUUUUGUUGCAGAUGAAAAGGCAAAUUCGAAUGGUUUUCUCACUUUUUUGCAGCAAACGAAAAGGUUUUGAGUUGUAAUCUCAGAAGCAAAUUUUAGCGGUUAAUUUUGUGAUUAAAAAAAUUGUAAAAUUUAAAAAUUAUGCGUUUGCCGGGAGUCGAACCCGGGUCUAUUGCUUGGAAGGCAAUUAUCCUAACCGUUGGACUACAAACGCUGCUGUUAUGA